rnacentral:lncRNA from 1 species
GGGGAGGUGGGUACCUUAAGAGGCAGAGCCGUCGCCGCCCGGACCUGCGCUAGCUGGGGCUGCACAGGAGUGGGGAUGGCGCCGAGGGGGGCUGCAGUGGCAUUCGAUGGCGGGGAUCCGCCGGGGAGCUGCGGCGGCCGCGGGGAGGCGGGGCACGUUGGCCUCUCGCAUUAACAGCGCUCACCCGAAGCUGUCCAAAGGAGAGCAACGAGGGGCGGCGGCAGGUUCCAGGCUGCAAAAGUUCGGAGAGGAGAAAGCCAGGGCUUGCCCUGGAGGAGAGAUCCAUGGGAGCGGCGUGGGCUGGACUGGGCUGCUCUCCUUGACUUGGCCGCUCACCUGGACAGGAGCUGGGUUCUACACUUGUCGGGCCGGACAAUCCCCGCAAUCCGUGUGCCAAGAAUGAAGGAGAUGCAGUGAGUGAAGUAAGAAGAACCAAGAAAACAAUAUAUACACUACAACCGUGAGAUUAAAAAGAACAAUCACACACAAAUCAAGAAUGAAUAUUGCAAAAUUACAAAGAAAAAAGAUGAUUCCAAACAAGAGAUCCAGGAAUAUAUCCAUAUCCCAUCCCUUGCAGAGGUAGGAGGUCCACAAUAUGGUAUGUUGCAUGUAUUUUCAGAUAUUUAUGACAUAUGGAUCAAUUUAGCUGUUUUUUUUUAUUUUUCUUUCUUUUUUAUGUCUUUAAUAAUAUUAAUUGUUAUUGGAUGGCUCUCAGAGGACAAAAGGAAGAAAACUGGACAUUUCAGAGGAUGUAAAAGAAGGCAUAAUAAAAAUUCAUUUAAAGAAAGAUAAUAUGCA